AUGGGUCUGGUAUGGUCCACGGAGGCUCAGCAAGCCCUGUCCUUCUGCCGGACCAGCAAGAGCCUUGCCAACAACGCACCACCUUUGCUCACCUCCAUCCCCUGGUCUGUCACUCUAACGGGGCCUUCCUUCGCCCAGACCUGCCCUCCUCCAGGGUCCGACCCCUCCACGGAGGAGAAGGGAGUGAGUGGGCUUGGCCAGCCACCAGAGGAGGCUGAGCAACUAAAGAACCUGAUCAGAGAUGUUCAAAACUCAUGCGCAGAUGCAGCUCUUGCAGAUCAGAAACGAGAGUGGUCCAGUGGGAACAAUCCAGAUGUGAACCAGGAGAACACUGAGAGGACAUCAGGCCAAGCUUUGUGCCAGGUACUGUGACACAGACUCCAGAAACUCACCAUCUGGGACAGCUAUACCACAAACAAGAUUCAUGCCAGUCCCCUGUGCUCUUUCUGGGUCAUGACCUAUGCAGACACUCUUUCUGGGAGGUAUGCAGCCUGUGGUGGCCUGGAUUACAUCUGAUCCAAACUCCUUAAGUGAAUGAGUGUGAGAGUCGUAAGCUGGCAGAACAUGCAACUUAUCUGUCCUGUGGCUGGUUCCUGGACAACAAUCAGAUAGUCACCAGCUCUAGAGAUACUACAUGUGUCCUGUGGGACAUCAAGAAGACAGGCCAACAGACAACCACACUAACUGGACACACUGGACAUGUCAUGAGCCUGUCCUUCUGACACCAGACUGUCUCUGGUGCUUGCGAUGGUUCAGUCAAGCCUUGGGAUGUCUGAUAAGGGGUGUGCAGGCAGACCUUUCACACUGAUGUGAGUCUCACAUCAAUGCUGUCUGUUUCUUUCCCAAUGACAAUGCCUUUGCCACUGUCCCAGAUGAUGCUGUGUGCAGGCUGUUUGACCUCCAUGCAGACCAGGAGCUCAUAACCUACUCCCAUGAUGUCAUCUGUGGGAUCACAUCUGUAUUCUUCUCCAAGAGUGGCCAUUGCCUCCUACUUGCUGGAGAUAAAGACGACUUCACCUGCAAUGUCUGGGAUGCUGACAGAGCAAGACACCACAACCUCACCGUUGCUUGGGAGUGGCUGUAG